GUUCAAUUCGUCUCCGUCAAGAUGAGCAGCAGCGGUAGGCGAGAGAGGGAGCAAAGGAGGAAACUGCAGCACUUUCUGACAGACCUGGCCUUAUUGGGAUCACUGCAGGGGUUCAAGUAUUUCCAGCCUUGGCUGCGAGGGAAGGAGGAACUGCUGC